rnacentral:rRNA from 1 species
CAUCGCCGCGGUAAUACGGAGGGCGCGAGCGUUACCCGGAUUUACUGGGCGUAAAGGGCGUGUAGGCGGCCUGGGGCGUCCCAUGUGAAAGGCCACGGCUCAACCGUGGAGGAGCGUGGGAUACGCUCAGGCUAGAGGGUGGGAGAGGGUGGUGGAAUUCCCGGAGUAGCGGUGAAAUGCGCAGAUACCGGGAGGAACGCCGAUGGCGAAGGCAGCCACCUGGUCCACUUCUGACGCUGAGGCGCGAAAGCGUGGGGAGCAAACCGGAUUAGAUACCCGGGUAGUCCCUGUCUCUUAUACA